GAUGAACGCUGGCGGCGUGCCUAAUACAUGCAAGUCGAGCGAACGGACGAGAAGCUUGCUUCUCUGAUGUUAGCGGCGGACGGGUGAGUAACACGUGGAUAACCUACCUAUAAGACUGGGAUAACUUCGGGAAACCGGAGCUAAUACCGGAUAAUAUUUUGAGCCGCAUGGUUCAAAAGUGAAAGACGGUCUUGCUGUCACUUAUAGAUGGAUCCGCGCUGCAUUAGCUAGUUGGUAAGGUAACGGCUUACCAAGGCAACGAUGCAUAGCCGACCUGAGAGGGUGAUCGGCCACACUGGAACUGAGACACGGUCCAUACUACUACGGGAGGCAGCAGUAGGGAAUCUUCCGCAAUGGGCGAAAGCCUGACGGAGCAACGCCGCGUGAGUGAUGACGGUCUUCGGAUCGUAAAACUCUGUUAUUAGGGAAGAACAUAUGUGGAAGUAACUGUGCACAUCUUGACGGUACCUAAUCAGAAAGCCACGGCUAACUACGUG
rnacentral:rRNA from 1 species